GGCCUUUACAACCUCCAGAGGGCCUUUUGUCUUUCCCUCUGUUUUUUGUUUUUUCCUGAUUUGCUUUCCAAAGUCUUGCCAGGCUACUUGCGUGACUAGCAGGAGCGAAAAAAGCCGCCCUGCUUCCCUGUCUUGCCCUGCCAGAGUGAGAGCCACUGCAGUGAGGAGAGAGAGGCAGGCAGGCGGGUGGCUUGGGAGGAAAGGAGUUUGCCGUGAUGAAAAUAUGAUGCUUGGUGUGCCUCAAUCACUCGCAAUUCAUUUUCAUUAACUAGAAUCUGGCGUGGCUACUGGGUCCAAAGCUGACAAGGGCUAAUUGAUGACAGUACUUAUGAUUUUGAACUCAUGGACACUAUUCUGUGGUCAAGUAUAGUCAUCUAGCAUAUUUUCUCAGUUUCACUCGAUGAGAAAUUGAAAACAGUGCAGAUUAUGUUGAAUGAAAUAACAGUGUAAGAUCUUUUAGAGGUCACUGUUUCUUUCUGUGUUUGAAGUAAACAACAGUUUUUGAUAAAGCAUUUGAAUGACCGAGCAAAGGCAUAUUUGCGAGUUGGAAACUCUGAAUUGUAGAAGAUUCAUGAUGUGGACGGUGUGUGACGAUUUGAAACACUGUGGAAACAUUGAUCUAUAAAAUUGGUAAUAUUAUAUAUUUAAAAUCUCUAUAUAGAGUUCACUGGGCAAAAAGCAAAUCUAUAGUGAAUUAUAAUAAAUGAUUUUGCAAGCUUAUUUGAAUUUUACAUGCUGUAUAUUCAAGUUGUGAUGUACAAAACACAUGAUAAGGACAAUUCACACUGUGACAACAGUCGCCGACAAACGGCAACAGACACACUCACUGGGUUUUUGUUUUGUUGGUAUUAUUCGGUGCUUGUUUUCUCACUGACCAACGCCAAUGGACUUAAAGAAAUCGUAAUUUCUCGGGUAUUGGAAUGUCUGAGAUGUGACAUACUGUAAUCAGAUGGUUGUCGUCGUUGGUCUGCAUCUGUCGGUGCGGUGUGAAUUGGCCUGUAGACAGCAAGUGUAAAGUAUUCACUCAACAUUCGGGGUUUACUUUAUGUUGCACAAACAUGUACUUAAGACCAUCUGUAAGUUACUGAUUGAAAUUAAUCAUUUUCAUAAUUUUUUAAAUCCAGAUGUUGUUAUUUUGGUUCAUUGUUCACGAUAUAAUUAUUUUGUUUAGGCUGCUUCUGUGUGAUGUUUCUGAAUUGAAAUUGUAAUAUUAAAUGCUUAACUAAGAGGUACAAGUUGGUGUUUACCACUUAUUUAUUUAUUUAUUGACUAAUUAGCCUUGAGAAUGGUGUACCUACCAGCAGUUGCUAACCAGCCGAACCAAAACACCACAAAUCGCCACUCUCAAGUGUGCCGUAGUAGGGAACUAUCUUCUGAAACAUCCACACAUUGUGAUUUUAAUGUAAGGA